rnacentral:misc_RNA from 1 species
UUAUUAAAUUAACUUUAUACUCCGACGUAAGAAUGCAGUGUUUUGAUUGUUGACCCCUGGGGACGGAUGCCGACCAGCGGUAGUGCCGCCCCAAAAACAACGUCGAUACAGGGACGGAUGCCGACCAGCGGUAGUGCCGUCUCACGAGCGACGUUGAAUGGCCCCCCCGGGACGAGUGAGUGCCGGCCAGCGGCAGGGUCGUCCCGGAAGCAACAGGAUGUGUUCACAAAGGGUUGGAGUUCAGGGCACGUAGCCCUCAGCUCAAUAAUGAUCCCUCCGCAGGUUCACCUACGGAGA